UAGUGAUCCGGUGGUUCUGUAUGGAAGGGCCAUCGCUCAACGGAUAAAAGGUACUCCGGGGAUAACAGGCUGAUACCGCCCAAGAGUUCAUAUCGACGGCGGUGUUUGGCACCUCGAUGUCGGCUCAUCACAUCCUGGGGCUGAAGCAGGUCCCAAGGGUAUGGCUGUUCGCCAUUUAAAGUGGUACGCGAGCUGGGUUCAGAACGUCGUGAGACAGUUCGGUCCCUAUCUGCCAUGGGCGUUUGAGAAUUGAGGGAAGCUGCUCCUAGUACGAGAGGACCGGAGUGGACGGGCCUCUGGUGUUCCGGUUGUCAUGCCAAUGGCAUUGCCGGGUAGCUAUGUUCGGACAGGAUAACCGCUGAAAGCAUCUAAGCGGGAAGCCCCUCCCAAGAUGAGUUCUCACUGGGACUUAAAGUCCCCUGAAGGGCCGUCGGAGACUACGACGUUGAUAGGCACGGUGUGGAAGCGCAGUAAUGCGUGCAGCUAACGUGUACUAAUUGCCCGUGAGGCUUGACCAU
rnacentral:rRNA from 1 species